UCCGGUUGAUCCUGCCGGACCUGACUGCUAUCGGAUUGAUACUAAGCCAUGCGAGUCUUUGUAGCAAUACAAGGCAUACGGCUCAGUAACGCGUAGUCAACCUACCCUAUGGACGGGAAUAACCUCGGGAAACUGAGUAUAAUGCCCGAUAGAACAUUAUACCUGGAAUGGUUUAUGUUCCAAAUGAUUUAUCGCCGUAGGAUGGGACGCGGCCUAUCAGUUUGUUGGUGAGGUAAUGGCCCACCAAGACUAUUACAGGUACGGGCUCUGAGAGGAGGGGCCCGGAGAUGGGUACUGAGACACGGACCCAGGCCCUAUGGGGCGCAGCAGGCGAGAAAACUUUGCAAUGUGCGAAAGCACGACAAGGUUAAUCCGAGUGGUUUCUGCUAAAGGAACCUUUUGUUAGUUCUAGAAACACUAACGAAUAAGGGGUGGGCAAGUUCUGGUGUCAGCCGCCGCGGUAAAACAGCACCUCAAGUGGUCAGGAUGAUUAUUGGGCCUAAAGCAUCCGUAGCCGGCUCUGUAAGUUUUCGGUUAAAUCUGUACGCUCAACGUACAGGCUGCCGGGAAUACUGCANANCUAGGGAGUGGGAGAGGUAGACGGUACUCGGNAGGAAGUGGUAAAAUNCUUUGAUCUAUGGAUGACCACCUGUGGCGAAGGCGGUCUACCAGAACACGUCCGACGGUGAGGGAUGAAAGCUGGGGGAGCAAACCGGAUUAGAUACCGGGUAGUCCCAGCUGUAAACUAUGCAAACUCAGUGAUGCAUUGGCUUGUGGCCAAUGCAGUGUUGCAGGGAAGCCGUUAAGUUUGCCGCCUGGGAAGUACGUACGCAAGUAUGAAACUUAAAGGAAUUGGCGGGGGAGCACCACAAGGGGUGAAGCCUGCGGUUCAAUUGGAGUCAACGCCGGG
rnacentral:rRNA from 1 species